UUUGGUUCGUUGGUAUUUCCUAUAGGUACGUUAAAUUGUUAGUAUUAUUUAAUAAACCAUCAUCAAAGUUAAUUGCUAGCUCAGAAAACUCAUUAUUUCCAAAUAUAUUCCGAAAUCUACACUCGCCACCACGCCAGAAUAGCCGCAGCCGUGUUUCAAACUUUUGAAAAGCGCGCGCACUCUUACUGGCCGCAGCAAGCCAAUGAGCGCUGCCGCUUGCCUGUUGCUGUUUGUUGACAGACGACAGCGAGCGCGCGGACGCGCGAGCCGAGCGCUACAGAAAAAAGCCGUUGGACGACGCCGUCGCGUAAUUAACGUCAGUUUUCGGCCGCAAUUUCGCCACUAAGUCGACCAGCAAUGUUCUAAAGUCGGUGAUUGCUGUGAAAUCCGAAUCCUGUUCAACCCUCCUAGCGAAGAUGCCGCAAAUCAAAGAUCUGUGCCAGCGGCUGACUUUUUUUGUGACAACAAUGCAACUCGAGCAAGCUGUGUCCUGAAACUUUGCGAUCCCCACGCACUAUAUGUAUGUAAUUAUUGAAAGGAUGUCUGGUUUGCAGCUUGGGUGCAAGAUCAAAACAAGCUAACAGGCUUGUAUACUCUGGCUGUGGCAGAUCAAGCCGAGGAUGUCAAGACACGGUCAUGGAUGGGAAAGAUGGGAAAAGCUUCCAGCACGAUGGAUUCCAGCCUGCACUGAACUUAAGCUGCAUUUUCCAGUCUUAAGUUUGUUGGUGCUAUUUAUGACUCGGAUGGAAUCGACGUGGCUCCGGAGCUCAAGACGAAUAGCUAUAUAAUUAUGUGACAGGACUUGGAAUGGAAUUGCUGGACCACAACUCCGACGAAGAUUGAGUGGUUCAUGUGUAUUUUUGUUUUUUAGUGAGGCUAUUUUCUAGCUCAAUUGUUGUACUUCAUGUUUAGAGCAUUCAUUUUAAGGCUAAUAUCUAUUGCAUACACAUACCUGUGUUAACUGUAAUGUUAUUGGUAUUAAAAUUAAAUUCCAAACAUUAUUUUAGUGAAUACAGGUAUGUGUGCAAUAAAUUUAUGUUUAAGCUGGCAUUAAUUCAUUUAAUUUUCUUGCCAGAAACGUUUUGGCAGCUGAAAAUUUUAAAUUAAAUAUUUUUGAUAGCCAUUAUAGGUUUUAAAUUCACCAUUUGUGUAAGCCUUUAGUGCUCGAAGUCGGCGUAGCCGUAUACUUCCAAUUUAAAUUCCUAUUGACUGAGGUCAAGGAUUUAAUCCUGCUGAUGUAUUUUCUGGGUUUUAAAUGAUUUAUUUUGAUUCUGAGAACCAAAAUCAGUUCAGCCAAUCUCCGAAGAAACAUGGAAAUAAUAUUUUUAUUAAAUCUGACGUUUCGAAGGUGAUUGGCUAGACUGACUUUUGCGUUUAGUACAUCAAAUCAAAUCAAUUAACAAGCAGAGCACCAUUUUUCGGGAGCAGUAUUACACUAAGGGGUUUUCAAAGCUUGUGAAUGUUAAAAUUUUUCAGCUUUCUUAAUUAAUUGUCUUCUCUUGUUUCUCAUAACCUUAUGGACACUACUGUAUAUUGAUAAAAUUCUUUGUAUUGAUCUAUUGUUACUGUGCAUGUGUCAUCUUUUUGUAAUCGAAAUUGUAUAAAUAAAUAAAAAUUUUAAAAUUCCAAUGAAUGAAUUUCAUUUGCGAUAUUAUUACCCAGAUAAAUGAAACACGAUCCACGGAAAAUCCCCAGCGAUUCCACGUAGCUGUUCCACGGGGAAUCUUCAUAGAUUAUCCCCGUGGAAUCUUCAUAGAUCAUCCCCGUGGAAUCUUCAUAGAUCAUCCACGUGGAUACCACGUAUUUCGGGCGGACAAUUUCUACGGGGAAUCCACGUGGACCAUCCACGUGGUUUCCACGUGGGAUCCGUGGAUCAUCCACGUAGGAUCCCCGUGGAGUCCACGUGGAAUGGCCACUGGGGUA